UACAGAGGGUGCAAGCGUUAAUCGGAAUUACUGGGCGUAAAGCGUGCGUAGACGGUAGCGUAAGUCGGGUGUGAAAGCCCCGGGCUCAACCUGGGAAUUGCAUUCGAGACUGCUCUGCUAGGGUGCGGAAGAGGGGAGCGGAAUUUCCGGUGUAGCGGUGAAGUGCGUAGAUAUCGGAAGGAACACCAGUGGCGAAAGCGGCUCCCUGGUCCAGCACCGACGUUCAGGCACGAAAGCGUGGGGAGCAAACAGG
rnacentral:rRNA from 1 species